UACAGAGGGUGCGAGCGUUGUCCGGAAUCACUGGGCGUAAAGGGCGCGUAGGUGGCGACCCAAGUCGAAUGGUGAAAGCUCGCCGCUCAACGGCGAGUCGGCCACCGAUACUGGGUUGGCUGGAGCACUGUAGAGGCAGAUGGAAUUCCGGGUGUAGCGGUGGAAUGGCGUAGAGAGUCCGGAAGAACACCGGUGGCGAAGGCGGUC
rnacentral:rRNA from 1 species